rnacentral:rRNA from 1 species
UUAACAAAAACAUGUCUUUUUGAGUUAAUUUUAAAGUCUGACCUGCCCACUGAAAUUUUUUAAAUGGCCGCAGUAUUCUAACUGUGCAAAGGUAGCAUAAUCAUUAGUCUUUUAAUUGAAGGCUGGUAUGAACGGUUGGACGAGGUAUAAGCUGUUUCAUGUAAAUUUAUAAUAGAAUUUUAUAUUUUAGUCAAAAAGCUAAAAUUUAAUUAAAAGACGAGAAGACCCUAUAAAUCUUUAUAUUUUAUGUUGUUUAGAUUUUUUGGAUUUAUUUUAUUUUUAUAAUUUAGAAUAUUUUGUUGGGGUGAUAUUAAAAUUUAAUGAACUUUUAAUUAAUUAGAAUCAUUAAUUUAUGUUUUAUUGAUCCAUUACUAGUGAUUAUAAGAUUAAGUUACUUUAGGGAUAACAGCGUAAUUUUUUUGGAGAGUUCAUAUCGAUAAAAAAGUUUGCGACCUCGAUGUUGGAUUAAGAUAUAAUUUUAGGUGUAGCCGCUUAAAUGUUAAGUCUGUUCGACUUUUAAAUUCUUACGUGAUCUGAGUUC